rnacentral:rRNA from 1 species
UACGGAGGAUGCGAGCGUUAUCCGGAUUUAUUGGGUUUAAAGGGUGCGCAGGCGGGUCCUUAAGUCAGCGGUGAAAUACCACGGCUCAACCGUGGGGCUGCCGUUGAUACUGGGGGUCUUGAGUACGAGCGGCGCUGGCGGAAUGUGUCAUGUAGCGGUGAAAUGCAUAGAUAUGACACAGAACACCGAUCGCGAAGGCAGCUGGUGAGGACGGUACUGACGCUGAGGCACGAAAGCGUGGGGAU